UACGUAGGGGGCAAGCGUUGUCCGGAUUUAUUGGGCGUAAAGAGCUCGUAGGCGGUUUGUCGCGUCUGCCGUGAAAGUCCGGGGCUCAACUCCGGAUCUGCGGUGGGUACGGGCAGACUAGAGUGAUGUAGGGGAGACUGGAAUUCCUGGUGUAGCGGUGAAAUGCGCAGAUAUCAGGAGGAACACCGGUGGCGAAGGCAGCUCACUGGGACGGUACUGACGCUGAGGCGCGAAAGCGUGGGGAGCAAACAGG
rnacentral:rRNA from 1 species